AGGGAUCCGGUUUUAGUGUUUAUCUGAAACUUUUUCUUCUCCACAAAUGGGUUAAUUGCUGCCAUCUCUUGUGCAAGAUUUUCAGGUUUUGUUUCAGUUCCAGCCAGUCUUUGUCUUAAAAAAUGACAUAGCCUGCAAUAUUAGUCUAAAAGGAAUUUCACAAGAGAUUCAUUUCAUCCAAACACUAAGCAUUUUGUAUAUAUGACUGAUCUCAGUAGUGAACCCCUGCAAACUUCAGCAGCACGUCUAAUAUUUUAAUAAGCAGCUAAUAUUUAGCCCAUCCAUUAAACCACUCCAUAAAUGAAUUAUUGAGCGCAAUCUGCUCUCCCGUGCCCACCUUCCUUUCCCACAAGGCUGUGGUUUUUAGCUAAGCCGGCGUGGAGCUCUCUUAUCUCCAAAUAAAACAAAACGGCUCCGCCGAGCGCCUGCACUGCCGAGCCCGGCGGGGGAAGGCAGCGGCAGCCGGGGGCUCUCGCCUCUCUCGGCAGCACCGGCAGCGCAGAUGGACAAUCACAAAUCCUGUCCCACGGCACCGUGAGUGAUGCCGGUGUAGCGGGAGCCUCGGGCAGCGCUUCCCCGCCGCGCCAGGACCUCGCUCCGCGGGACAGCGGGACACAGGGACAGCGGGACACACGGACAGCGGGACACACGGACACCGGGCUGCCGUGCCCCGGGCUGCGCUGGAUGCUCCGCGGGCUGCAGGGCCGGCCGCGGCCACCCGGCUCCUCCGACCAUGAAACCCUGGCAGCUGCUCGCAGGCGUGGGAGAUGCCCUUCAGGACGCCUUGAGCUUUCUCACAUAGUGCGUUGA
rnacentral:lncRNA from 1 species